rnacentral:rRNA from 1 species
UACGUAGGGUGCAAGCGUUAAUCGGAAUUACUGGGCGUAAAGCGUGCGCAGGCGGUGAUGUAAGACAGGUGUGAAAUCCCCGGGCUUAACCUGGGAACUGCAUUUGUGACUGCAUCGCUGGAGUGCGGCAGAGGGGAUGGAAUUCCGCGUGUAGCAGUGAAAUGCGUAGAUAUGCGGAGGAACACCGAUGGCGAAGGCAAUCCCCGUGGGCCUGCACUGACGCUCAUGCACGAAAGCGUGGGGAGCAAACAGGAUUAGAC